CCCUUAGAUGUUCUGGGCCGCACGCGCGCUACACUGACGAAUGCAACGAGCUUAUAACCUUGGCCGAAAGGUCUGGGUAAUCUCCAAAUUUCGUCGUGAUGGGGAUAGAUUAUUGCAAUUAUUAAUCUUCAACGAGGAAUGCCUAGUAAGCGCAAGUCAUCAGCUUGCGUUGAUUACGUCCCUGCCCUUUGUACACACCGCCCGUCGCUCCUACCGAUUGAAUUGUCCGGUGAAGCGUUCGGACCGUGGCCUUUGGACGGUUCGCCGUCUGUUGGCUGCGGGAAGUUCGUUAAACCUUAUCAUUUAGAGGAAGGAGAANUCGUAACA
rnacentral:rRNA from 1 species